CUUUGUGUUCCAAAAGAGAUAGGAGGAAUGGGGUCCAGAGAUCCUCACUGUUUUAAUUUAGCUAUGUUAGCUAAACAAAUAUGGAGAUUAAUUGAGACUCCGGACAACUUAUGCGCAAGAGUUUUGAGAAGUAAGUACUAUCCUGAUGGCAAGAUACUCAAUGCUAAACUUAAAUCAGGUUCAUCUUUUACUUGGCAGAGUAUAUUGUCAGGGCUCAAUUUAAAGACAUUAUAA
rnacentral:rRNA from 1 species